GACGAACGCUGGCGGCGUGCUAACACAUGCAAGUCGAGCGAAUGAAAUUCCUUCGGGAACGGAUUUAGCGGCGGACGGGUGAGUAACACGUGGGCAACCUGCCUCAUAGAGGGGAAUAGCCUUCCGAAAGGGAGAUUAAUACCGCAUAAGAUUGUAGUACCGCAUGGUACAGCAAUUAAAGGAGCAAUCCGCUAUGAGAUGGGCCCGCGGCGCAUUAGCUAGUUGGUGAGGUAACGGCUCACCAAGGCGACGAUGCGUAGCCGACCUGAGAGGGUGAUCGGCCACAUUGGGACUGAGACACGG
rnacentral:rRNA from 1 species